GGGCCCGCACAAGCGGUGGAGCAUGUGGUUUAAUUCGAUGAUACGCGAGGAACCUUACCAGGGCUUAAAUGUAGUGGGACAGGUCUAGAGAUAGACCCUUCUUCGGACUCAUUACAAGGUGCUGCAUGGUUGUCGUCAGCUCGUGCCGUGAGGUGUCAGGUUAAGUCCUAUAACGAGCGCAACCCCCUAUCGUUAGUUGCCAGCGAGUAAUGUCGGGAACUCUAACGAAACUGCCAGUGCAAACUGUGAGGAAGGUGGGAUGACGUCAAAUCAUCACGGCCCUUACGUCCUGGGCUACACACGUGGCUACAAUGCUAGCGACAAAUGGGCUGCAAGUUCGCGAGGACAAGCAAAUCCAUAAACCGUGGCUC
rnacentral:rRNA from 1 species